rnacentral:rRNA from 1 species
UACGAAGGGGGCUAGCGUUGCUCGGAAUUACUGGGCGUAAAGCGCACGUAGGCGGUCUUUUAAGUCAGAGGUGAAAUCCUGGAGCUCAACUCCAGAACUGCCUUUGAUACUGAAAGUCUUGAGUAUGGGAGAGGUGAGUGGAACUGCGAGUGUAGAGGUGAAAUUCGUAGAUAUUCGCAAGAACACCAGUGGCGAAGGCGGCUCACUGGCCCAUUACUGACGCUGAGGCACGAAAGCGUGGGGAGCAAACAGG